CACAAAGGUGAAUGAUUUCCUGCUGUAAAGCCUGCAAGGCAUCGUUUUUCCAAUUAGAAGUGUUGCUUUGUCAUUGGACUACAUAUAUCUAGAUACCAUGAUGACAAUGGACUUGCUUCCCUUUUAAUUUCAUGAUUGAGCAUUUAUAUCCUGAGUUGGACCCAGACUGACAAAGGCACUGACAUGGAGGAGCUCAUGGUCUGAUGGGGAUAACAGGAACUCUGCAUCAAAUCGCUUUCCAUGAAUUUGUUUCCAUGAAGUGGUGUGGAAGAGCAAUUAUAAAAUUAAUUCAGAGCAGGAAUGUUUUAUAUUCUGAAUGAAGAAGAAAGGGGAGAUUGGAGGUGCUACCUUAAUAUGUGCCUGGAUCCAUCAUUCCUGAACAUGCUGCUGUUUUAUUUCAUUCUGAUGUGGUGUGUCUCCCAGCUCCUAAGCUCCUUUUGGCAUAUUAUCUUUUUGCAGAACUGGAAAAAACUUGA